GGUUGCUUUCGAAUUUAUUUACCCAUUAUCAUUAUCGUUGAGUAUAGAGACUUCCUGCUAGAUGAGGGUUGAUCUCAGAUUCAGUUGUUCAGUGUUCUAGAGACUUCCUGCUGGAUGAGGGUUGAUCUCAGAUUCAGUUUUUCAGUGUUAUAGAGACUUCUUGCUAGAUGAGAGUUGAUCUCAGAUUUAGUUGUUCAGUGUUCUAGAGUUGGUAAAUUUGAAUAUCAAAUAUCAGUAAUAUCAGUUAUCUGAUUUCUCAGUAUGGAUAAGUACAGAUGUCAGCUCUAGUAGCUUCAGAUACUUAGUAUCUUAUUGUCAGUAUUAUUAUUUUCAGGUAUCAGCGUUCAAAAUGUAACAUUCGAUGUCAUGAUGAUUUCAGUUGUACUUUAUGCAUCCAUAUGUGUAUUGUUGAUCAGAUAUGUUUCAAAAUUCGUAACUACAGAGUUUUUGUAUAUGUUUAUUCCAGCGAAUACAUAUUAUUCAGAUUGUUAUGUUCAUACAUAAGCCUUAUAUUUUACCUUACCCUAUCCUUGCAUACUCGUACAUUCUUUGUACUGACGCAUUCAUGCUAUGAUGCUUUCCCCACCAUAGGUUCAGAAGACUGAGAUUCAGAGUAUAUUUAGCUGUCAGAUCUUAUAGUAGUGGGUGCAGCAGUGAGUCCUCAUCAUCCGAAGAUAUUCUAUUUCAAUGUUUUGGUGAUUUUAGUAUACGGAGUUAGUUGGGGAGUUUUCCCUUCAACUCCACAGUUCAGACAACGUAGAGGCUUUUUAGAUAAAUGUAUUAAUAUUUAGUUUUCAGUACGGUAUAUUUAGAUGUUUGAACCUUAUGGCCAGAUUUAGCUAGUUUCUACAUUUAUCGUAUUAUAUUAUGCAGUGAACAAAUAUAGAUAUCAGUGAAGGGUUAGCUUGUGGUCCCUCGGGGUCACGAGCACCGUGUGGCAUUCUGGUUCAUGGAAAUCAGGGUGUUGCAAACUUGGUAUCAGAGCCUAAGGUUCAACAGUGUCCUAGGGAGUCUGAAAAGCCGCAUCUAGUAGAGUCUUGUACAAGAGUGUGUUGCAUGCCACAUUCAUGUAUGAGAGGCUAUGGGAUGUUUAGAAGAGUUUCCGUUCAUUCAUGAUCCAGAUCGUGCUAUAGCAAGAUUUUCCAAGAGAGUUAUGUAGGCUCUUGUAAUGAUCUACUUAUGUCAUAUUUACAUUACUCUUAAGGUAAAAGAAGUAGUGAAGCCAAAGUCUUUCAGAUAGAACUUUUUCUGACGGUCCCCGCAGAUAGUUUCGGGACAGUGUUCUCUAAAGUGAGAAGAGUAUGCCUUAUGGGGUUAGCUAUUUAUAUGGUGAAUGAAUAGGCUUGAAAUUAUAUAUGUAAGAAUCUAAGUGUGGAAGUUGGGAAUUAUAUGUGUUUAUUGAUAGAGAUUAGUUGCGAUUCUUAUGGUGUGGAGAAGUAUAAGUUUAAGAGAUGUAAUAUUUGAAGGCUAGAAUGAUAAUAGUAUGUUUAAUAAAGAUUUAUGGUUAUUCAUGUUAUGUUUUAGAAGCUAAGCUUGAAUCUUUGAAGAAUGUAAGUUUUUGGACUCCAAACUAAGUAUUAAGAUGUGAAUGUGGUAUUAGUAGCCUAUGAAGAAAUCGAAGCAGAUAAUGUGUUUAGUGAGACAAGUAGGUGUUGAAAAGAGUGUAUGUAUAUGAUGAUGAUUGUAGAGACUAAGGAAAGAUAAGAGUUGUAUUCCAAGAAGUGGCAUUGGUAUUGAAUUUAUGUUCUCAGGUGUAGUCUUUCUGGAUGAAUUAAAUUAUCAUUUUGUGCACCGUUGUGCCUCACAAUCUAGAGUACAUUGGUUGUAGUUAAUUUUGGGGUUUAGCCAAGUGUCCAAAAGUGUCUGACGAUUACUUAAAGCUGAGUGGAGGAUGAUAGAGAAAGUGAAAAGUCAGGCCCUCAGAAUCUGGUAGUGGUGCCAGUAGGUAUGGAAAAGCAGUAAAGGGAGACAGUUCCCGAACCAUUCUUAUUUCAGUGAAAUAUGUCUAGAGGGACCUUGGGUCUCAAAUGGGGAGAUACCCCAUAAUGUUAUAAUAAUUGCAUGUCCAUUCUCUUUCUAUGAUGUUAACCUCAUCGUUCGUUGCAUUUCUGGUUAUGCUUUUGAGAAUUUGGUGUAUUAGGUAUAUUCCUAUUUAAUAUGCACGUUCAAUAGAAAGGAACUCGAAUUGUCGGCAUGUUUGAACAUGUAUUGAAGAGAUUAAUUGGGUUAUGAUUCUGUGCAUUUGAGAUGCAUGUGUGUUGUGAAAAUUUACCCAUGAGUGGGUUGUUGAGCGUUUUAUGCAAUAGAUGUGUAUGACUAGUGAACGUACGCAGAAUAUUGGUUCCUUUGGUCGUGUGGUUAUGUUUUGAGAUGUCUUGCUGUCUUGAAUAAACCCAGUUGAUUAGUGUUCUUGAUUUGUCCUACACAUUCGAGGACGAAUGUUUCCAAGGGGGAGAUGAUGUAAUACCCCAGAAAAUUUUUCGUCGAAAUUUUGUGCGUAAACGUAUUGGAUCCUAUCUUCGAGAAUGAUUUAUAAUUUUUCUGUGUGUCAUUUCUUGGAUUUCGAUCCAACACUUCUUAGAGCAUCGAAUAAGCUUUCCAACGAUAUGUAUAUCACCCAAAACGGACACUCGAGUGUUGAGUUACGACCGUUCCGAUCAAACUAUGUACAUUCCAAUCGAACUAUGACCAGUAAAAUGUGAAGGAAAAAAAAAUACUGCAACCAGGCGAUUUUUUUGGUCAACUUCAAACGAUCAUAACUUCUUGUACAUAAUGAACUAUGUGAGCUUGUAUAUAUCAACAGAAAACCCUGAGAGUCUUCUUUCCAAUAAAAUUGGUUUCAUCGAAUUUGGAUAUCGUAGUAAAAAGUUAUGGCAAAUUUACUUCAGCCUAUCGGAUAGAUCACUGAAGGACAGAUUCGGAUUUUAUUUGUUUCUUAGGGAUAUUUUGGUCUUUCACCACUCUUUUAAACCUCUGUAAAUACCCCAUUUAGCUGAGAACUUGUAUUAUUUUGCUGUAAUUUCUCUUAUAUAUAUAAUUCCGAUCGAACUGUGAACAGUAAAAUGUGCAGGAAAGGAAAAAAAAUACUGCAGCCAGGCGAUCUUUUUGGUCAACUUCAAACGAUCAUAACUCCUUGUACAUAAUGAACUGUGUGGGCUGCUAUAUACGUGUGUAGUGUGUAUGUGUGUAGUAUUUACAUGAUGGUUGAGAUAUAUGUGUGGGAUGAUUAUGUGUGUUGGUUGAAGUUUAUGUAUAUAGUAUUUGUGUGAUGGUUGGUGAUUAUUUUGUUGAAGUUGAUGAUAUCCAAGAAGGGAUCUUUGUAUGUUUGUGGAAACUAAGGUGGUGUGUGAUGUAUAAAUACAUAAAAUUGGUGAUUGAAUACUUGUAAUCCCGAUGAAUCCACCAAUGCCUAAGAAGUGCAUGUAAGGUGUUUGUGAAAAUACCUAAGAGACUAGAGAUUUUGUUUUUAUAACAUAAUAGGUCCAAAAUUAAUUGAUUAUGAAUAUAUGAUGAUUUAAAUUUUUAAGCCUUGAUUUAUACUAUUAUUCCAUUAUUUCCUUGUUAUGACUUGAUAAUUGUUAUUGGGAAUUAUAGAUCCCUACUAUUGAUUGAUAUGUCAAAUAUUUUUUAAAUGUUAGUUGGAUUGUGAAUUGAGAAAUGUGGAUGUUGAAGUUGAAGGAUGAUGGUGUUGUGGUGCAUGAAAUUGAGCAUUAAACCUAUGCCCUAAAUGGUGCAUAUAAGAUGAUUGCUUAAAUGCCUAUGUGAAGAACAACUUAAGUAUUUGACAUGUUUGUUAUCCAAAUUAUGAUUUCAUGCCAUAUCCAUAUGCUUAACUUAUGUCUACCAUAUGUUUGACAAAAUAUUUAAGAGAAUAGGAAACUAUGCAUUGUGGUUCAUUAGGUCUUAAAAGAUAAAUUCAUGCUUUGUUCCUAUGGAUAGUUGAUUUCCUUGAAUUUCUGAUGCGUUGUGGGUGUAUGAUGGAAUGUGAUGAUGAAUUAUUGAGGUAACUAUGAUGUUUGUGCGUAGUAUUUGCUAUGGACCCAAAGUAUGCUCCCCACGUGUUCGAUUGGAUGCUUAUAUAGAGAAAUGAGGCCAUUUGAAUUGCUAAGUGUGAAGUCCUCAAUCAUGUGUUGCGUACGAUGGCCUAUGGGAAUGUUUUGUAUGAGUCAUCUAUCUUGUGUUACUUUAAGCUAUUAUGUGUCGGGGGUACGUAUGCCUGAAAUAGUCUAUUGGUCUAGAGCCGAGUCAGUUUCACGGUAAUCUCAAUCAAGCGAUGAACAAUGAACUCCCGGUUAGUUUCAAAACUUGGGGAAAACUCAGUAAUCUCGAAAACUAUUCUUUAUCGUAUAAUCAGGCCAUGAAGCUAUGUAAUCUUACAUAUCAAUUCACUCCAUUAUAGACCUCUAUACAUUUUGUGACAUAGUAAGCUUACCUAAAAAGUAAGUGGAAAUUAGAAAUACUUUGUCCGAGAGCCGAAUCAAGCAAACUCUGUCAUAUUGAUAAAGUAUCAUAAUGUGAGAACAGAUUCAAUUCAGUCGAGUACAAUUAAGAACCGGUUAAAUGUCUUUUAGUUGGGAGCAGGAUUUAGCACCGAGCGAGCUAUGCUUCUUGCGAGUAGAGGGUUUGAUUCACUUCUGCACAUUCCUGCGAGUAGAGGGUUUGAUUCCUGGUAGCAAUCCUUAUGCUCCAAAACUACGUCGCCAGCGUAGGUUGAGACAUCUAUCCUGCGAGUAGAGGGUUAGAUGAGGUAGUUGUCCUGCGAGUAGAGGGUCCCACCAUUCUCAUUUGAGGUCCUGAUAGUAGAGGGUCAUAUGCAGUUGUAUUUACUGGUGGCGCGGUAUUGACACCCUCUAAGCUGGGGUACAGGUUGGAUCCCACUUGUGGUAAGUGGGGCAUGUCGGUUAAAUGAUCACUCCUAUAGUUUCAGUAAUAGUCUCAGAAAAGAACUCAAUUAAUGUGCAGAAGUUGAGGCUGUCAGAUACAGGCCUCCCAGUAUUUCUAUCAUCAUCAUUGAGUACAGAGUCUUCCUGCGAGAUGAGGGUUGCUCUCGAACUUAUUUACCUAUUAUCAUUAUCGUUGAGUAUAGAGACUUCCUGCUAGAUGAUGGUUGAUCUCAGAUUCAGUUGUUAGUGUUCUAGAGACUUCCUGCUAGAUGAGGGUUGAUCUCAGAUUCAGUUGUUCAGUGUUC
rnacentral:lncRNA from 1 species